rnacentral:snoRNA from 1 species
CCCCGGCCCUAUCGAAGCUGUGUCCGUCCCCGCGCUGUGGCGGACGCAGUCAAAAAGGAGCCGAGAGCCACCACGCGUUUUCCCCCGACGGUCGCUGCGCAGCUCUGUGUGUGUAUGGCUGCCCGGCAACAUAUGGGGAAAAUACAGGG